rnacentral:lncRNA from 1 species
AAUGUGAGGCUCUAGGUUUAAAGAUGAGAGUCUGCGGCUUCUCACCCAAAGCGCGACGAACUCUAAUCAAUACCCCCGUUGAAGUAAUGAAUCCAUCAGCGGAAGAGGAAGAGGAAGAGGAAUGGGCACCAAAGUGGAAAUCGCUACAUGAAAGCCCUCAAUUCGUAUAUGGAAUGCUUGAUGGUUUUUUGGAAACAUGGGAGGAAGAAGAUUUUGAGCGUAUUGCUGAUUCCAAAUAUCCUAUCUUCCGAAGGGAGCUUAGAGACAAGAACUGCCACCAGAGGCUUUUGGCAUUCCUUAAACAAGUUCGGGAGAGCAGGGUAAUCAUUCUUUCUUCCUUUGGUAGUGUUGGCUGAUUCAUUAUCUGUUCAAUUUUUUUUUGUUUCUAAUUAGGGUUACGAUGUGGAUGAUCCUCCGCGGUGU